rnacentral:rRNA from 1 species
CUCUGGAUGAGUUGCGAACGGGUGAGUAACGCGUAGGUAACCUGCCUGGUAGCGGGGGAUAACUAUUGGAAACGAUAGCUAAUACCGCAUAAUAGCAGUUGUUGCAUGACAGCUGUUUGAAAGGUGCAAUUGCACCACUACCAGAUGGACCUGCGUUGUAUUAGCUAGUUGGUGGGGUAACGGCUCACCAAGGCGACGACACAUAGCCGACCUGAGAGGGUGAUCGGCCACACUGGGACUGAGACACGGCCCAGACUCCUACGGGAGGCAGCAGUAGGGAAUCUUCGGCAAUGGACGGAAGUCUGACCGAGCAACGCCGCGUGAGUGAAGAAGGUUUUCGGAUCGUAAAGCUCUGUUGUAAGAGAAGAACGAGUGUGAGAGUGGAAAGUUCACACUGUGACGGUAUCUUACCAGAAAGGGACGGCUAACUACGUGCCAGCAGCCGCGGUAAUACGUAGGUCCCGAGCGUUGUCCGGAUUUAUUGGGCGUAAAGCGAGCGCAGGCGGUUAGAUAAGUCUGAAGUUAAAGGCUGUGGCUUAACCAUAGUACGCUUUGGAAACUGUUUAACUUGAGUGCAAGAGGGGAGAGUGGAAUUCCAUGUGUAGCGGUGAAAUGCGUAGAUAUAUGGAGGAACACCGGUGGCGAAAGCGGCUCUCUGGCUUGUA